rnacentral:rRNA from 1 species
AUUGAACGCUGGCGGCAUGCUCUACACAUGCAAGUCGAACGGUAACAGGCCGCAAGGUGCUGACGAGUGGCGAACGGGUGAGUAAUGCAUCGGAACGUGCCCAGUCGUGGGGGAUAACUACUCGAAAGAGUAGCUAAUACCGCAUACGAUCUAUGGAUGAAAGCGGGGGACCGUAAGGCCUCGCGCGAUUGGAGCGGCCGAUGUCAGAUUAGGUAGGUGGUAGGGUAAAGGCUCACCAAGCCAACGAUCUGUAGCUGGUCUGAGAGGACGACCAGCCACACUGGAACUGAGACACGGCCCAGACUCCUACGGGAGGCAGCAGUGGGGAAUUUUGGACAAUGGGCGCAAGCCUGAUCCAGCAAUGCCGCGUGCAGGAAGAAGGCCUUCGGGUUGUAAACUGCUUUUGUACGGAACGAAACGGCUCUGGUUAAUACCCGGGGCUAAUGACGGUACCGUAAGAAUAAGCACCGGCUAACUACGUG